GGUUGUAGCUCAGUGGUAGAGCUCCUGACUCAAAUGUGUGAGGCACUGGGUUCAAUCCUCAGCACCA
rnacentral:tRNA from 1 species